GUUUGUGGUGCUCAGAGGAUUUAAAACUCAUCCAAUAAAAAUUCUUGACUCUGGACAGAGUGGACUUUUCAGUUAAAUCAGGAUACUUUUUUUUCUGGAGAGAUGCAAAGCUUUAAGAUCCAGGCAUAUUUUUUCUUAUGAAACCCUGCAAACAACAUUCCUUGUUGCCCAAUUUUCUGGUUAUGCAACAAAAAUGACUGAGAGAGAUUUCUGGAAGUCUCUGACUAAAUGCUCUUUGGAGAUUCAGCUAGGACAUGUUGCUUUACUGUUGCAUGCUGGGACGCUAUAUCCAUGCGACUCCUCAGCCUAACCUUCCCAUCAGAACACUGGCACAGAGUGACCGACUUCCACCUUGUGAGCCAUGCUUUUCUGCCUGUCCAGAGGAGAAAGAUGAUCCAGACAAUGGAAAUGAGCACAUACCAGCUGUUGGUAGCAAUCAGCUCACGCUUACCUCAGUCCCAGAUCAGACCACAGAUUAAAUACAAAACAGAAACCCCAUGCUAACUGCAUCUGGAUGCUGAUUCCUUCGCAUGAGAUUCUGAAUCGCUUUUGGCAUGGCUUCAGCGGAGGCCCCUCUUUCAUGUACAUAUUGAGAUUUAUGAAGUCCCAGCACAUGAUAAAAGCUGAGUUAUAGACUUCGACAGGUACGCAUUCUGAAAUACAGACCAGUGUUAUAAUACUCACACAGACAAACACAUGUCAAGUAUAUUACAAGUGCCGUUACACUCCACUACAUAUACUUGGAUACCUUAGUAUCACCUGCUCAGACUUGGAUAUUAAAAUAUAAGUUGUGUACCUAUGUCCUAAGUACCCCUGCCUUGAAAUACUAUUGGAUAUUACUCUAGAAAGUAUUUGUUAGUUAUACAUUUUUACUUUUAUUAUAUAUUUCAUUAUUUAUUGUUUAAGUUUAAGUCACACAGGUCCAGAGACCAG